ACUCAACACAGCUAGCAGGAAACAUCUUUUCUGUGUUCCAUUGCACUCUUUUGAAUGUGGAACCACAAACUCUGUGAUCUCCAAAUAUAUGUACUGCCAAAGGCUUGCAAUAUGGUUGCCUACUCUGCAUACAAUGUUUGCUUGUUACGUAUUUAUAGGAUAAAUUAAUAUAUCUGCUUUCUGAACACUGUCAUUGCUGCUCAAGUUUCCAUGGAUAUCUGAACAGAUGAAAUUUCAACUCAGGCACAUUCUGUAUUUCACACAGAGUGACAUUUCAUAAACUGUAUACCUUAGAACACUAUUCCAGGAGAUAAAAAUGCUGAAAAAUGAUUAAAAUUUAAACAAGGAUUCCAUGAAUAAGUUAGAAUGCAAUGCUAUUCGUUAUGCCCCUCCUCCUACCAGUGCCUUACAAAAAUAUAUACUACUUUUUUUUUCAUGGAAGGUUCACCAAGUCCCACAUUGAAGGAAACUACUCCAUGUAUCAGUCUCUAAAUUUAUUUGUCUCCAAUAUUCUUAAUAUGUUACCAGUAUAACAAAUAAUCCUGUAUGUCCAACCAAGAAGUGCUCACAAGGCAAUCAGUGCAAAGUCAAGCUACGGCUGUGAGGAAUGCGUCUGACUUAGAAGUGGUAUGUACACGUGUGUAUGUAUAUCUACUUCAAUCUAUAU